CCUACGGGUGGCAGCAGUGGGGAAUAUUGGGCAAUGGGCGCAAGCCUGACCCAGCAACGCCGCGUGAAGGAAGAAGGCCCUCGGGUUGUAAACCUCUUUUGUCGGGGAGCAAAAGCCGGACGUGUCCGGCUGUGAGAGUACCCGAAGAAAAAGCAUCGGCUAACUCCGUGCCAGCAGCCGCGGUAAUACGGAGGAUGCGAGCGUUAUCCGGAUUUAUUGGGUUUAACGGGUGCGCAGGCGGAUUUUUAAGUCAGCGGUAAAAUCGUGGGGCUCAACCCCAUCCAGCCGUUGAAACUGGGGAUCUAGAGUGUGCGAGAGGUAUGGGGAAUGCGUGGUGUAGCGGUGAAAUGCAUAGAUAUCACGCAGAACCCCGAUUGCGAAGGCAGCAUACCGGUGCACAACUGACGCUCAGGCACGAAAGCGUGGGUAUCGAACAGGAUUAGAUACCCCAGUAGUC
rnacentral:rRNA from 1 species